rnacentral:tRNA from 1 species
GGUGCAGUAGUUCAAUUGCGUGGAAUACCCCGCUGUCGCCGGGGAGGUUGCGAGUUCGAGUCUCGUCUGCACCG